AGUGAACGCUGGCGGUAGGCCUAACACAUGCAAGUCGAACGGCAGCACAGUAAGAGCUUGCUCUUACGGGUGGCGAGUGGCGGACGGGUGAGGAAUACAUCGGAAUCUACUUUUUCGUGGGGGAUAACGUAGGGAAACUUACGCUAAUACCGCAUACGACCUACGGGUGAAAGCAGGGGAUCUUCGGACCUUGCGCGAUUGAAUGAGCCGAUGUCGGAUUAGCUAGUUGGCGGGGUAAAGGCCCACCAAGGCGACGAUCCGUAGCUGGUCUGAGAGGAUGAUCAGCCACACUGGAACUGAGACACGGUCCAGACUCCUACGGGAGGCAGCAGUGGGGAAUCUUGGCCCCUGGGCGCCAGCCUGAUCCCGCCAUACCGCGUGGGUGAAGAAGGCCUUCGGGUUGUAAAGCCCUUUUGUUGGGAAAGAAAAGCAGCAGGUUAAUACCCCGCUGUUCUGACGGUACCCACAGAAUAAGCACCGGCUCCCUUCGUG
rnacentral:rRNA from 1 species